UUGAAAGGGAAACGAUUGAAGUCAGUCGUACCAGCGGGAAUCAACCUUUCGAGUGGGGNUUUGGAGUUUUGAAGUGUGUCAAAACCUUUGAGAUUUUAAAAUUUUCGCUCUUUUGGUGUACUUUCUCGUGGGUAGGUUAACAUCGAUUUUGAUCAUCAUAAAAAGAUUGGAGGAAUGUAGCUUCGAUCUUGUAUUGAAGUGUUAUAGCCUUUGGUAAAUGUGAUGAUUAGGAUCGAGGAUUGCAACGAAUACCCUUUUGGGCUAUCCGCCUGAUCUCUGAUACGUGGCCUUGGCAUCGAAAGCUUGCUUAUGGUAUCAAGGUAUUACGGUCAAAAGGUUAGAACGGAUUACAUUCGUUAAGGAUGUUGACGUA
rnacentral:rRNA from 1 species